rnacentral:rRNA from 1 species
UAGGGAAUAUUGGGCAAUGGAGGCAACUCUGACCCAGCCAUGCCGCGUGCAGGAUGAAGGCGUUAUGCGUUGUAAACUGCUUUUAUAUAGGAAGAAAUAGACCUUGCGAGGUAAGUUGACGGUACUAUAUGAAUAAGCACCGGCUAACUCCGUGCCAGCAGCCGCGGUAAUACGGAGGGUGCAAGCGUUGUCCGGAUUUAUUGGGUUUAAAGGGUGCGUAGGCGGUUUAUUAAGUCAGUGGUGAAAGACGGUCGCUCAACGAUUGCAGUGCCAUUGAUACUGAUAGACUUGAGUGGGAUUGAGGUAGCUGGAAUGGAUAGUGUAGCGGUGAAAUGCAUAGAUAUUAUCCAGAACACCAAUUGCGUAGGCAAGUUACUAAGUCUCAACUGACGCUGAGGCACGAAAGUGUGGGUAUCAAACAGGAUUAGAUACCCUGGUAGUCCACACUGUAAACGAUGAUAACUAACUAUUGGCUUUUAGGUCAGUGGUACAGAGAAAUCGUUAAGU